CACCCAGCCAGCCUCACUACAGAGCUCUCAGGGCCCUGGCUUCUCUUCCUCUGGUGAGGAUCUGCUCCCGGAGGCCACAGGGGGGCGCUGCAGGAUCGCACAGAGGCAGAGAGGCAGGGUCUGCUCCCAGGCACCGCCUCUUCUGGUCUCCAACUGGGCUGUCUUCUCAGAUAGUUCCUCAGCUACUGCUCCUACCUGUCGCUCAGUCAGGAAGACCAGAGCCAGCUCACUCAUGUGGAGUAGGACUUGUGUUUGUAGAGGGCUUCCUACUCUUCUCAUCUGGUCUCUGUCCUUGUAAGGCCCAGGAGAAACAGCAAUGCUGUGGGCUGUGGCUCUGCUUCUAGCUUUUCCGCCUCCAGCAGGCACUCAAACUUCUUCCAACAUGGAACAGGGAAUGGUCUCAAUCACCAAGAAACCUGGGUCACAUGUGGUAUUCACUUGUGAUGUGCCUGCAGUAAGCAGCUACAUCCACUGGUACCGAUUUCAGGAGGGGCAGACCCCACAACGCCUUCUCUAUUAUGACAUCUCCAAUUCCAAGUCUGUUCUGGAUUCAGGACUCAAACCAGGGAAAUGCAAUGCUUAUCAAACUGCAGAGAAGAUCAAUAAAUUUGUAGUACGGAAUCUGCAAGAAAGUGACUCUGGGGUGUAUUACUGUGCAGUCUGGGACACGCACAGUGCUUCACAUCUGCUUUCUGCUGCACUGAAAAGUUUGCUUGCGGCUGCGCCUGGUGCACUGGAUAGAUCAGCCCCCAGCUCACUUCCUGCCUUAAUAUCCACUAUGUUGUGA